AACGCACCUUGCGCCUUUUGGCAUUCCGAAAGGCACACCUGUUUGAGUGUCGUGUAACCCUCAACCUCACCCUUUGAAGGGCUGCAGGCUUGGAUGUUGAGUGUUGCUGCGGUAUGCAGCUCACUUUAAAUGCAUGAGCAUUCCCUUUACUGCUCGGAUUGACUCGGCGUAAUAACAUGUCCGUUGAGGAUGCCUAUCCGGCGGCCGGAAAGUAAGGGUGGCUACUAAUGGCUCUAGCGCGUUUGUACUUUAGACCUCAGAUCAGGUGGGACUACCCGCUGAACUUAA
rnacentral:misc_RNA from 1 species